GAAGUAUUUGUAGGUAAUUUAUGCCAUAAAACAAACAGAGCUGCUCUAACAUCCCUUCUCAUGUAAUCACAUUUAUUACCCAGAUCGCUUGACAGCAGAGAAAUACCAUGGAAUAACAAAACACAACCAACACAAAAAAGAAAGGCAGAGAAGUGUUUAAGAUGGAUUUCAAGACUGAAUUUUAAGUGAUGACCAUUUGGGUGAUGAGAACUAUAGAGGUGUCACUGAGAUACUCAAAAGGGAUGGGAUUAGAUGUUAUGAUAAGACGCAGUGAGCUGGAAGAGAUCAGACAGCUCUUCCUAACUAUACUAGAAGUAAAUCUCAAAAAGGGAGACGGAUAAUGCUGAUGGAAAACCAAAGAACUAUAAACUUGCUGUGAAGUAAGGCUGGAACUGUACAUGUGGACUGCAUGAGAAUAAAAGCAGUCUUGCAGGAGCCCCUAACUUUUCAGUCGUCCUCCUCCCAGGUAAUUCCCAGCAGGGCUGCCAUGUGCUUCUGGGCUGCAGAACCCAUUCCGCUGCCACCGUUGUUACCGGUAGCACCUGCUGCCGCUAGCGAAAAAGAAUUUGGGAGCCUUUGCUAAAGUGAGUAACCCACUCAUUUUGCAAUCUUUUACAGUUCAGGAUUUAUAACACACCUUGUCCUUCAGUAAGCCGUUGGGUCCAAGAACGCGUUCAAAAAUGUGCUGUCCAACAUGCGCAUCAACAGCCGAGAGCGGGUCGUCUAGCAGGGAAGCUCUCCAAAUCAGGCUGCAGUGCGCAAGCAUCUAUCACUCUGUUGAACCAUGUCUCAUCCAUCUCUUUCCCAAAGAGAAUAUUAUCUUCCACCGAAGCAUUUUGUAUCCAGGCUUGCUGGGGGACAUAAGCUGUUGUGUCCUAUAAAAAUGGAAGUGGAGGAAUGUCACCAAUCUUCAUAAGCUCAGCUUGACACUGAGGGAACCUGUCUUUGAAGAAAAACUCUCCCAGUAAGAUUUCUAGAAAUCUGGAAUGAUCAUCACUACUGACAGGUCUCAGAGAGCUUUGCAAAACACGAGUCUGCACUUUCAUUACCUUACAGAGGAGGCAACAGCAGUGCAAGUAUCUGACGUGAUUUACCAGGAUGCCGCUUCAGGUCACUCCAGUGAGAAAUGGAACUGCAUCUUUCAAGUCCCAUUCCAAUUCCCAUUCCCAAGCACCAGGCUCAUCCAGGAGGUCUUAAGCAUAUUUGGAUAAUUGUGGGCUGCUACAUACAGCCUUUGUUAAAAUUCAGCAGAAAAUGGGUUUUCAUGAAGUAUCUCAUGCCUUGGUUAAGACCACACUGUUCCUAAAGACAGCCUAAUUAGAAGCAAACGUGCAGGGGAAGCCUCACCUUCAUGGACAUGCAGCCAUCCGUCUUCUCCAGCUCACCCAGUAAUGCCGACAGCAAGGAGGACUUUCCAGCACCCACCUGGCCAACUACAGCAAGCAAGGAACCUCUGGGCACGGCACCCUAAGAGUGGGAGCUGAACAAUGGAAGCUGCUCUUCUUAGAAGACAACAGCGCUGACACAAAAGCUCACCACAGCCAGAAGAGUCUCUGCCAGAGCUCUCAGGAUUCAGUUCUUCCAGAUUCAGAAAAGCCGUUAAGCGGUUUAAAGAAACUUUGGCCUGAAAUGAAGAACCACACAAAAGAGAACUAGAUUGGUGCUGAAAGCGAUCCAGGAGCAAGCUGGCAAUCCAAGUCAUUUCUGUCUUCCCUUCUGUCCCUGGCUGUGUUACGGAGGACACCUUGUGGCUGGCAUCAGGAAGUGACCCACACAAAACCAGGUUUUGUUCAAAAAACAAACCCAAACCCUCAACAAACUAUUCCUGCAGCAUAAAUAACCCAGCUGUCUGAAUUUACAUCAACCAGUGAGAUGAAAUGGUGGCAUUAUACUGUGUCACAGACUUCUGCGACAGCUCUUGGAUCCCAGGGUUCAUCAUGACUUGUACAUCAAAAUGGAGAGCUUGUUUCUUGUGGUUUAAUUACAUCUUUCUGCAGAUGUUCGCUAGAGAGGUGAGUGCUGAUAUAUAAAGAGAGAUAAAAGUAUUCUCUAUGCAAAUGGUCUGUGAGCACUAGCACAGAAAGCGUUAAUUAUGCUCCAGCUACUUGCAACCACAUCCAGCCCGUCAGCAUCGCUAGAAAGGGGAGGAUGAUUUUUCGGCAGCCUACAGCAUGGCUACUAAUUUUCCAAGGUCACCGUAUCCUGCCCAGCACAGGCACAGUACAUCCUGCUUCCCAAAGGAAAAUCUUCAAGGCCUCUGGGAAGCUCCUGGGAAUCAGCUCAGAAUGCCAUUUGGUGUGAUGCUAAAAACAGGGACUAAAAUAGGGGGUUCUCCUGCUGAGAAAAUGCCAUACGUUGAUCUAGGGGGAAAAGGAUCUUUUACAUUAUCAUCCUUUGUUUUUAAUGCAGGUUUUCCUUUCUCUGUGCUAAACUGCCGAAUACCUAUGAAACUCAAUGUCUCCAAUACUUUUUUUGAAUAUCAUAGAACUUUGCUUCAAAUAGUUUCACCGAUCCCGAGGUAAUCAGGAUGAGGUAUUUCAAGUUGCUGUUUCAGUCCAUUGCCCUUUAUGCUCCGGAACUGGACUCUCAGCCUGCACCAGGCCACCACAUUUUGGUUGAAAAGGGAAGUGACAGGAAAAUCUGGGGCAGAAGUUUAUCAGUCAGCUCAGAAUAACCACAUACACACUCUUUCCCUAAAAGAGACUGAAUGCUGAAUACACAGUGAGAAGAUGAAGUGAAGGAUCGGGUAGGGAUUCUACAUCAAUGAAAAUAUCUUCUAAAAAUAAAAGCGAAUCCACUAUGCUAUAGAGCUAAGAAAAAUAUGGCAAUUUCAGUUUAUCCAGACUGGCAAAGCUCUAAGCAGAAUUUUGAAAGCUCCUUUUUCCUUUGAUACCUAGAAUAGAAAGGGAUUGACAAGUAUUGCCAUCAUCUUUUACCUGCCACAAGAAGACAAAGCAGAUGAUAAUCCGAAUAGGAGCAAGCCAGGUCCCAUUAAAAUAGAUAAUCAGAUCCAUUAGCUUUUGGACAUCAACAGAUACGAGAUUAACAAUUUCACCUACUGUGGCUGCUUUCCUUGAUGCAUUUGACAUAAGUAGGAUCUAGACAGGGUAGAGAAGAAAGGAAAGGCAUCAUCACAUUACAGCUUUGGUCCAAAAAUCAAACAUGUUUAUUUUCCUUAGAAAGAAAGGAAAAAAAAAAAAGAGAGAUGAAGAAAAAUGUCACAUCGUAGGUACUGAAAACACACUGUUCCCUGGGAUAUGUGACUUCAAUCUAGGAUGAAGAAUUUAUUCCUUUCUCCAACCGUAAUCUACAGCAUAAGAAAGCUUAUAUUGCUUUUCCUCUGUCCUUUACCUGGAUUUUUUUCAGAGGUAAGUUCUGAGAAACAAAUAGUAAAAUACCUCCCAAAUACUGUUGAGAGAUAAAUAUAGCACAGAU